GCCAGUAGCUAUAUCAACCUGUAACUCAACUGGCAGCUCAUUAAAAUUGAGCAGGUGUGAGUCUGGCCAGUACCUGGAUGGCAGAUCUCCUGGGAAAGCUAAGGUUGCUGCUGGGA
rnacentral:rRNA from 1 species